UGAACGCUGGCGGCAGGCCUAACACAUGCAAGUCGAGCGGAUGAAGGGAGCUUGCUCCUGGAUUCAGCGGCGGACGGGUGAGUAAUGCCUAGGAAUCUGCCUGGUAGUGGGGGAUAACGUCCGGAAACGGGCGCUAAUACCGCACACGUCCUGAGGGAGAAAGUGGGGGAUCUUCGGACCUCACGCUAUCAGAUGAGCCUAGGUCGGAUUAGCUAGUUGGUGGGGUAAAGGCCUACCAAGGCGACGAUCCGUAACUGGUCUGAGAGGAUGAUCAGUCACACUGGAACUGAGACACGGUCCAGACUCCUACGGGAGGCAGCAGUGGGGAAUAUUGGACAAUGGGCGAAAGCCUGAUCCAGCCAUGCCGCGUGUGUGAAGAAGGUCUUCGGAUUGUAAAGCACUUUAAGUUGGGAGGAAGGGCAGUAAGUUAAUACCUUGCUGUUUUGACGUUACCAACAGAAUAAGCACCGGCUAACUUCGUG
rnacentral:rRNA from 1 species